rnacentral:rRNA from 1 species
GAUGAACGCUGGCGGCGUGCCUAAUACAUGCAAGUCGAGCGAACAGACGAGGAGCUUGCUCCUCUGACGUUAGCGGCGGACGGGUGAGUAACACGUGGAUAACCUACCUAUAAGACUGGGAUAACUUCGGGAAACCGGAGCUAAUACCGGAUAAUAUCUUGAACCGCAUGGUUCAAUAGUGAAAGACGGUUUUGCUGUCACUUAUAGAUGGAUCCGCGCCGCAUUGGCUAGUUGGUAAGGUAACGGCUUACCAAGGCAACGAGGCGUAGCCGAACUGAGAGGGUGAUCGGCCACACUGGAACUGAGACACGGUCCAGACGCCUACGGGAGGCAGCAGUAGGGAAUGUUCCGCAGUGGGCGAGAGCUUGACGGAGCAACGCGGCGUCUGUGACGACGGCCUUCGGAUCGUAAAACUCUGUUAUUAGGGAUGAACAGAUUUGUAAGUAACUAUGCACGUCUUGACGGUACCUAAUAAGAAAGCCACGGCUAACUACGUG